rnacentral:rRNA from 1 species
GACGAACCGUGCGAACGUUAUUCGGAAUCACUGGGCUUAAAGCGCGUGUAGGCGGAUGGGAACGUCGGUAGUUGAAAGCCCCCGGCUCAACCGGGGAAGUGGUGCCGAAACGACCCGUCGUGGAGGGACGUAGGGGGAUCUGGAACUUCCGGUGGAGCGGUGAAAUGCGUUGAGAUCGGAAGGAACGCCCGUGGCGAAAGCGAGAUCCUGGACGUCUACUGACGCUGAGACGGACGAAAAGCUAGGGGAGCAAACGGG